GGCCCAGGUUGGCCAGAGAGGUGAACCAUCCCUGGAGACAUCCCAGGCCAGGCUGGACGGGGCUCUGAGCAACCUGAGCUGGUGAAGAUGUCCCUGCUCAUGGCAGGGGUGGCACCAAAUGAGUUCGGAAGGUCCCUUCAACCCAAACUAUUCUCUGAUUCUAUAACAAGGCUGAUGUUGCGCUGCCCAAAAGCACCUUAUCUUCAUGUACAAUCAUGUAGCAAAUCAUGUAUUCAUUUGUAUUAUUAAAUAAAGACUAACAGAGUCGUACACCCGGCAGAGCAGAAGGGAUGCACAAAGGAUCACGGGUUCCCGGCAUUCCCCGCUCCCUCUUGGAAAGCCGCUGACUCACUCCCCGAGCAAUCAGCCUCGUGUGCCAUUACAAAUGGGGUGGUUAAUAGGCCUGCAUCCAUUAUCAUUAGUGCAUCUCAGCACGCAGGUACAUGAUGGGUCCUGCCAGCGCAUUUGCUCCAGCUCACUGAGCCAGGGGCCAUGCUCCAUUGCAAAUGAGGAUGAGGAACACCUGCUCCAGGGUUUUUCGGCAGACCGGAGUCAUCCUUCACAUCUCAUGCAACACUUGUUCUGUCAGAAUGCAAUGCUGGCACCGGCCGGAGCGGUGCUGUGCCAGGCGUCCAACUAAAGAUUAUAGACUUCCCUGUGGUCUUCUGCUGAAGUUCAGCUUUGAAUUUUUUUCAAAGAAUCCUUUUAAAAAUUUAUCAAUUUCGUAUUAGGCAUUCAGUCAUUAUGUUAAGGGUUCAAAAAUAAAGAUGAAAAAAACUUUGCUGCAGAAAUUAACUCUUUUUUUGGCAAUUAGAAUGGAAGCAUAAAAUAUUUAUUGAGUCUGAUAAUUUUAUUCACAGUGCUGAGUGCUGGCUGUUUUGGUAUGUUUUCUGAAAGAUUUUAUUUUUGGAAAAUAGGCCUUGCGAUUUUUUUUUUUUUCUUCUUCUUUUCUGGCCUUCUGCAACUAUUCACAGUGUUUGUGGGAUUUUUGUUUUAAUUGUCUGCACUGGCUGACCCGAAAUGUGGUAUUAGACACUAAGCAAAAGGGGGAAAAUAAGACAAAAUAAUGCCUUUCCAAGGUGUGUGUCUUUCCAUCCAGGAGCCUGUGCUCUGGCUGCCCUCCAGGGCCAGGACAAAGGCGUUCCUCAUCCCACUCCAAAAGGCACCACGCUUGCUGCCAGCCCCAGGCUCGCUUGUUUUAGGUACUGGAAACCAAAAUUAAGGGAGGAAAAAUGGUUGCAAUUUGAACAAGCAGCUCCUGAGGUUUGGGAGUUGCAGUGAAGGACACAGUGAAGGUGAUAGCAUUGUAGCAUGUCCUUGUUUCCCCAUCCUGUGUGACGGGGAUCUUGUGGGCAUUGCUGGUUGCCAAAGCUUUUUGGUCUCCAAAGACACAGGCUCGAGGCCAAGGCUGGCACUCUGAGCACCCCUGUCACCCAUCCUGCAAGCGGGACUGGCUGGGGGCACAUGCUGUUGGGCUCAUGCGUGUCCCAAAUCCUGCUGGGUCUCUGCCUCUUGGGAAGACCUCCCCAAACCACUCCCUUGGAAGGCACCUCAUAUCCUCCAGCUCUCCCUGAUAGACAAUCAAUCAUAGAAUCAUUGCAUCAUCUCUUCUUGAAACAAGGCUCGGGAUGAACAUUGGCUGCCGUAAUGCACGCUGCUGGCAAUGAUGCCACACUGACGUGCACUUUUUGACUGGUGUCAUCUUUGUCUCCCAAGCAAGCAGAAGGAAUGGGAGUUGUUUGCUUCUCCAUUCCCAACAUGCAGGUGAGUGGACUUGACUCUGAACUUGGAAUAAGGAGCUAACUAAGAAAUUCCUGUUUGCUUUUAAAGUCAUUCCUGUCCUCCUUCCCCAACCCUCUCUUCCAUGCUGAAGAGGCUUUUGGUUCUGCUUUCAGAGCCUCUGAGAAAAUGACAGCUACUUUAUUUCAACAGGACGCCCUGUCUGGUGGAAGAUGGGAUUCCACGAUGAUAAAAUUAUACUGGAGGUUAUAGGUCUGCUGCUCUGCCAGGAAAGUGGAGUCUUCAGUUUGAUCAGUGAACAUUUAAGGUUCAUAAGUCUCAGUUGGAAUGUCCCCAAGGAUAGGAAUGUCAGCAAGAUAUAUUUCAAGUGAGUGCCAAAUAUAAGAGACCUGGACAAAAUGAAGCAACUAAUAGGUCUGAGACUCUGCUGGGGACUUUGGCACCACACUCAGAUGGUGAAGACAACCUCCAAGCAGAGUGUGGCAGAGAUUCGCCAUGUGCGCUUAAUGAGCUGAUGUUGUGGAUCUGGAAUUGCUGGAUCAUCCUGAAAAAAUUAAGAGUACGGAGGGCAGAUAAGCUCAGGAUGUAAAACCGCAGAGGCUACAAACAGCUUGGAUUGGCAUGGGGAAGCUUGGCAAAGCUUGGCUUGCAAACCAACGGGCGCGACGAUGCCACCUUGGGUAUUAAUAUCAAAUAUCAAGGUAAGCUGAGUGGUUCGAGGUGCUUGGCUCUCGUUGGCAUUGCCAUGAAUGGGAUGUCUUUAAAUAUCUUGGAGUCUUUAAGUCUUGGGUGGGUGUUGGACCAGUUUUGGGUGGGGUAAGGCAGGGAUGCCUUAUGGGCAUCCCGCUGCGCAGCCCCGGCCUUGGUCCUCGGCAGCAUCGAGCCGCAACAACAGUGAAAAUACAUGGGAUCUGGUACAACAUGACGGACAACAGGUACAAAGUAUGAGAAAUACAGAAAUCCAACAAGCAGAUGCAAUAGGCCCGUUUUAAUUUAAUACCUCUGACACACAGAAUUGUAAAAAGCAUAAAAGUCCCAUUACUGAAUGGCACAAUAUAUUAGCAGUUAUAGGUGUUAAAUCAAACCAAGGUACAUGAUAUUAAUGGGCAAAACGGCUGUGUUUGAACAGUUGUCUACUUAUUAAAUCUCUAAUUAAGGACAUGCAAACCAAGUGGCUAAGAUUUUCCACUAAAGAUGAUAAAUUGUGAUUACUGAAAUGUUUUUUAAUGUGUUACAGCUCAAGCCAAUUUGAUUAAAAAAGUAAAGAAGCGAUCCAAAUUUUUCCCAACAGCUUUACCUGUAAUGAUAGUGACACCUCUGCAGGUCACUAUAAAUUGAUUUUCUCUGUGCUGUAUUAACCCCUCACUGCAGUCUGAUACCUGGUUUCUGAAUUUUACAGCCCUUCUCCACAUGAUCUUUCGGGAUUCAAAUGCACAGGUCUCAAACAGGUCAGAUAAGCUGAAAUUGAUGCCUCAUGACUUUUUGGCUGGGUUGUGUAUAAUGUUAGCGUAACUAUUUUCCUGCUAUAGCAUACCCCUCAAUAGGAGUAAGUGCACUUACUUGCCUCAAUCAGCCAUCUGUGACUCCAUCAGCCACAGUGGAAACUAAUGGUAAUUGCCAAUUGUUAACCAGACAAUAGCAGAUGCUAACUUUAAUAUCCAACAGUGCUCUUCCGAGCAUCUUUUAUGUAGACAUGGCCUCACUUUAAUACGUGUUUUCUUUCCCCAAAAUACAGCGACUUGGUAAGGGCUGAUUAGCCUAGGGAGCUAUGUGACUUGAAGCGACGAACUUCGAGGAAUGGCGGAUGAUGUUCUGUUUCUGGGCCAUAAUGUCUACAAUCAAAAAAUUUAGAAGAUUGGGUUUUAAGUUGUUUUUCAAAAUAUUAUUUUUCCAGUUAGAUUUCACAAAGAGCCAUGUUCUGGAUGCUAACACGAGAGUAAUGUCUUUCCUGGCAAUGUCUUUGCCUCCUAUUAGAUAAUCAAUUAGUCUCAGAACAUUAAAAAGCAAAAUGCUGCGACAGGAUUUUCCACCAAAUUCAAAAAUAUUUACUAAAGGAUUUCAUUGCUCCUGUUCAUUUACCUCUAAGCAUGAAGGCCGCGGCUGCACAACAUAAUGCCAUUGUUUUGGCACCAAGACAGCUUUGCAACCUCGGCCCCGGAGGACAUCUGGAGUCUUCUGGGUCGCGGCGGUUCCUUUUCGCAGAAAUUUGCUUGCCUGAAGUAAUGAAUGAGCCCAUUUUCACUUUGACUGUGGCCUGCAGUCUACGGGAGACAUUAGGAGCAAUUUGUAGUCAACGUGCAGGUCUGUUCCAUCUAAAAUAUUAUCAAUGAGCUUGUCAACCCGAGCCUUAACCUUCUUUGUUAUUUUCAUCUGCUCCUCUCUCAGAUGUCUCUCCUCGUACCCGUAACCUCUGAAGACUAGCAACAGGAUGUCAUACACCUGUUUUGCUCAAGGCUGGGACUUGGAGCCCUGCGCGAUAUUGUGUCGGCAUUGGCUCGCUCGCUGCUUUGCUCAACGUAUAUGUCAGAAUGUCAGAUGAUCGUUGUUGUAUCUGCAGCUGUUGCAUGAGCGGAGUGCCAGGGGCACAACUUUCCUGCAGUGAGCUUUAAUUUGCUCUCCUUUCCCUGAAGAGCUCCUGCGUUUCACCUUGCUGCUGCGGCUGCAGCUGGAGGAGAGCUCAGCCCACGCGCAGCUGCGGCCGCGGGACGGACGGACAGGCGGACAGAUGGACGGCAGGCAGGGAUGCAGGCAGCGAGGCUCCGCAACGGCCAGGGUAAAAACUUCACGCGGGCCAAAGGUGCUGCAGACUAUUUGCAUCUUUGCUCAAUGAGGCAUUUUACUAAUUGUUUUGCAGGAAGGUAUUGUAAACACUGAGGGGAUUUAUAUUUGCACUAGUCAAUCUGUAGUAUAUUUUGGAUGCUAUUCCAGGAGAGCUACUUGUAGCCUAAAUAAGCCAUAACCUGCCAAGAUAUUCAUGAGAGAUCUGACUAGGUUUUUGACUGCUCUCAGAAUUAGGUUGACAAUCAAAACAGAUGUAGAAUGAGACUGCAACUGGAUUGCCAAAGGCAAAAAAACUCCUGUCAAAUUCUUUAAAGGAGCAAGCUGAUAAACCACUGUAAUACAUGGGAAUAGUGGACAUUAGUACCUAGACAAGGACACAUAUGUCCACCUUCAGAUUUGUUCGGGACUGUGGAUUUGUUUUACAAAUUAGGUAGCAAGGGCAUUGGAAAAAAAAAAUGCUUAAAAAUACACAAUCAGUGAAACUUUAAAAAGACACAGCAUUACUGCAUGAAUGUUACAGGAUGUUUCUUAGUUUUUGGGUUUGUUUUUGUUUUGUUUUAAUACGCGCUCUUGCAGAAUUGCCGCAUUUCCAAGUGACAUAUUGGGAUAGCACAGUUCAUCUGUAAUUUAAAAGAAGAAAGCAAUAGGGAGUUUGAUUAAAAAGUAACAUAAUUCUGUAUUACUGGCUAUUGCUUUUGUUGCAUCUAUUAUUCAAGUAGACAUGAGGCAUUUUGUCUUUCCCUUGCAAUGUUAACUAAAUCCAGGCUAAGUAUAUAAAACGAGGCUUCAUCUUUAAUAAGGAGGACAAAUGCAGUGGCCUAACAUGUACAUCUGUAUCUUGUCUAAGACUUGCAGCUCAUAAUUCUUGCAUCCAGGUCUUCAUAACCGACAGAAACAGAGAAGCUUUUGUGGGAUGAAGCACAAGCGUGAAAGAUGGUGGUGGGAGAAAAAACCCCAACAACUGUUUUCCAGCUGCAUUCUGGGCAAAUCACUGGCUGAAAGGACAUGUCUAGUUGUACAGAUGGAUCAGCAUCUAAGGUUGCUGUAUGGUUCUGUGAAGUGAGGGCUCACUGCUCAUCCCCACCAAGAAAGUAAUUUAAAAAGUACUCAGUGAAGUUCUUCCCAUGGUGGCGUUGGUGGUUUGGAUGUAGAGCUCCCUUCUCAGAUGAUGGAGUACCAUGAUGUCCAGUCUUGCAACGACUAGAAAGGAAGGGGACAGGCCUCCCUUGUCCCUGCACUUCUGUUCAGGCUGGUUCUCUCCUGUAUCAUUAAAUACAUCUAUAUCUGCAUACAGAUAUUCAACCUUGAACAGAGCUGAGCAGCCAGAGCCCUAAAUCAGCCUGCCUGCAGCAGGCUGGGGCACGUCGCCUCUCCCCGGCUUCCAGCUGGCUGCUGGUCCCAACUCCUGUUUUUCUUAUUCCUGCGGAGACAACACAUUCUCACGCUGUCCAAAAGCCCAGGGCUGGGCUACUAAUAGAGACUGCUGAUGAAUGGCGUAAGGGCUUUUCCAUAACUCUCUGUUACUAAUCAAUGAGCGUGUUUGACAUCUCGGCAACACAACGUUGGAGAAUUGCUGUCAAUAGUGCUUUCUCGUGCCGAAAGAAAAUGGGAAAGCCUAAUACUGGCAUUACAUCAUUGGCGGUAGCUGGUUAUUGAUGUCAUCGUUCCUGUCACUCACCUGAUAUAUACAGCCUGCAGUGACUUACCUCGAAUCUAUAGAGGCUGGCUCCUGGAGGUCUGGCUUGCAGCGAGCAGCGAGUGCGAGCAUCAGCACCUGUGUCCCCGUGCCAGACAGCUGGCACGCUCUCUGCGUGCCACGGCGUGCCAUCUGUGCCAGCCGCCACGUGCCAGUUACGUGACUUGGGGGAAGUCAGGAGGAAGACGAAACUGUAUUCCACAAAAGAAAGAGCCCAUUCACAAAUAAAAUGUUCCCAUACAUUGCGUGGAAGAAAGUGCUCAGCAACCCACUGUAAAAGGAAGAAGAACCCUCAUCUCCACCAACUCCCACGGGCUGCUGAUCAGCCAGGUCAAAGCCAACAGUUUUCUUGUCCAAGUUGGAGUCCUGGGAGCUCCUCGUUGCCACCUGGCCCAAACUGGUGGCAAAGGAUGAUGUCUGCAUUUAGAGCUAACAGAUGUGCAGGAAUGUCCUCGGCUCACCAUUGCUUUUCUCUCCAGCAGAAUAUGACUGACAACACAACAACACAAGGGAACAGCUGGGUCGAAACGCAUAAUAUUUUCCUGGUAGAGAAAGAAGCUGAUGAGGCCAUGGAGUACCUAAUUGGGAAGUUCAUAUGAAGUUUCUGAACCUCCACUUUGCCCCUUGGGGAGAAGCAGCCCGGAAAUAAGGUGAAAGUGUUCUGAAAGAAAUGAGGAAAUCUCAAAAGAAAAAAAAAAAUAGCACAUUAUAGAAAUACUGGUAAAUAAAAUAUAACCAACGAGCAGCAUGGGAAGUGUGUUUAACCCACUGCACACUAGCACUGCCAGCCAACUGAACACUGAAUCAGGAAUAUCAAGUGGUAUGGCUCUACGUAAUAGCGACAUUAACUGUGAUAGAAAUUUUAAUGGAUUAAAAUAGAAGAAAAUAUAGUGUACCAACCACAAAUGUAUAGAAUCAGUGCUCAUUGAGUCAUUCAUUAUAGCUGAUCCUGUACAAAGAAUAAGAGUAGGGUUUCAAUAUGAAAAAAUAACACAAAUACUUAUAAAGUUAAGUUUUGCAAAGCUGUUGCAGCUUGAGAGGCUUUUGUUGUACAAUACUGCGUUUGUAUGACAGUUGCAAUUGCUGGAACUUCCCUUGAUCUACAAGAAACCUGACAGAGAUCAAUAUUUUAUUGUUACAGAUACGUUAAGUUACCUACUGCUUUAUAACAGCUGUAGGGCCAGAUCCAGAGGUACUUAGGAAAUAUAGUCUUAUGUGAUUAAACUGGACUUCAUGCCAUUUGAGUUUCUUUGAAGGAUGUUUUCCAGAACCAGAUUUCUUUGUCUCAGAUCUGGAAGACGGCAUCUCCACCCCAGCCCAUGACCUCUGUCUUGAGGUGUGUUGGGUCACUGAUGAGAGUAUGUGCUCAAAUGACGACAAAACACCCCAUUCAAAUAGAAAUUGCUUAUUAAUUAUAACACGGACACACCGCCAAAGCCCAAGCCUCCCGCAAAGACGGCAAACCAAAUCACAGGAGGACCACGAGUGCCACGUUAAGUUGUCAAACCACAAAAUGGAUGAGUUGGGAGCAGCUUCUCGGGGCGCAGGGACUGGGUGCUCCUGAGGACCCUGCUGCAGCCCCUGCCAGGUCUCCCCAUCCUGGGGACCUUGUCUGCACCGUCUGUCCCCACCAGCCUUUCCAGGAGGCUUCUCUCUUCCCUUAACUUUGCCCUUCAAUUGUCACUUUCCUGGCCAGGCUGUAGUAAUAUAUAUAAAUAAAAAUCUCAUAUCUUCUACCCGCUGUGCUCUGGGGAAGCCCCGGAACACCCAGCACCUCUCCUAGCUCUGCAAACUGGCUGCAGGACCCGGACACAAUAUUGUAGUAAAUAACCUGGAUCUUGUGUGAGUUGCCCUGAAUCUGGGAGAUGCUGCAGCUUCCCCGGAGGCUGCAGAUCGAGUUGAGUUCAGGUUUGGGCUUUUCCUGCUCUUUGUGCCGUGUUGCUACCAGCAUCCCUCACCUGAACUGAUGUUCCCCUGGCUAGUCCUGACUUGUGCAUUUUUGAGAGAGUGCAGGUGAUCUCCCAAUCUGCAUAAAUAUGCAUGAAUUACAGGUUUCCUGAGCUAGAUUUUUUUUAUCUUAAUAACAUUGACUUAAAUUGUACUUAAAUAUUAAUUAAGUGAUUUAAGACCAGGCCAUUUAGGCCAAAUGUACAUUAAAAUUCCACUUCUGUUUUCCCUCUUUUUAAAUCCUCCUCCUGCAGUUUAUUCCCUGCGAGAGGGUUUGGGUCCUGAACUCAUUGUGUGAUCUUCAAACACAUAAUAAGAAUUAAUCACCAUUAGUCCUCUAUUUUAACAGCUGCUUCCUACCCCCUGAACCAGUGCAGCUGCAAACUUCCCUCCUUCUGCCGACACCGAAAUCCCAUUACAGCUGCAAACUUCCGCAUGUAAAAACGCAGUUUUAAGCUUAUUUUGAAACUCCUCGCAUUUCUUAAUUGCUCAGGCCUUGAUUGGAAGCGGGCAAUGCGGCUCCUGGCUGGUGGGAGCUGAAGGAGCAUCGUCCAUCCUGCACCUGAAUGUGAAGGCACCGCGGGAGGUUGCAAACCACAUCUCGAGCCCCCAUCUGCUGUUCACUUUCAGAAGUAUCCAGAGGAAGAUUUGGUGAUGCAUGUUUUCCGCAGUUUAUUGUUUUGACCAUGGAUUCGCAGCUACCCAGAGUGUGCCUGCUGGGACUAGUACAUGAAGUCGCUUCCAGGACCUCCCUUUUGCUUUGCAAUGAUGUGGAAGGUGACUCUUCAGUAAGUAACACAAAAUGAUUUCAUACUUGUGUAAAUAAUAUACACGUUCUGUCUCCCUUUGAGUGAUGAAUAGCAUUUGGAGCCAUUGAUUUGUUGACAUGCACACGUGGUGGCAGCUGGAACAGUUCCUAUUGUCCUUGAAUCCCCCAAACUGGUCCUGUGUCCCCCAGGGCUUCCACACCCCGUGGCAGCACCGUCUUCCAGAAGUCCCUCCAGCACCACACAAAUGCCAGGUCUUGUCUUGGCCAUUGAGGGGGACAGUGGGGACAGGCAGACCGAGCCCUUCCAGCAACACAUCUGCACCACCAUGUCCUCUCUCUGUGCCUUCCCCAUACACAGGGACAUUUGACCCUUUCAAAAAUGUGGCUCUUGUACAUUCUCUUCUGCUGCAGCUCAUGCUUCUGCUUAACUAGUUAGCUCUUUUUUUUUUUCCCCCUUUAAUAUUUAGCAGAAAAUAAUUCUGCAAUGAGCUUUACUAAAGCAGCAGGAUAGAUUAAAAAAUGAAAUAUGUUUAGCAAGAUUUGGGGGGGAAAGGCUGGAGUAAUUAAUUUUCAAUAAUACCUGGCAUUUCCAGAACUCCUUUCAUCCCAAGAUCACCAAACAGUUUACAGACAUUAAUUAAUUAAAGCAUUAUGAUGCCCCAGUGUGGGGCCAUCGCCUGCAUGUCUGACUCAGACAAACUCCCUCCAAUUCCCCGGACAGCCGAGCAGGAUCCACUCCUCUGCCUGCACCAGGGCUACUCCUCUGAGUAAACACUGUGCAGCUUCCCUCAGGUUUGCACUGUGUGGCCCUAUGUAAAUAUUUUCCAAUAAGUUCGAUUAUUUGUCUUUUAUUCUCUAUCAGGAAAACCCCAAAUAUCUCAGUAAUAAAAUUUCCAGCGUCUGUUUACAUGAGGGCAGUUCGGAUGAUUAGUUUCUGAUUCAGCUGCCCAUUAAAACAUCCCUGCUCCUGGAAACUCUCUUUGCAGGCUGGGAGCUGGACGUGCAGUUGAAGCUUUGAUUUUGGGGUGAGUUGAGCAUUUUUGACAGGACAGUAAAUUGCGUGGGAAAAGAGGAGGUGUUCAGCAUGCGCCCGAGAGGGGUACAAAUAACGUCACACUCCUGGAAAUCCCCCGUGAAGUGUAAGUUCGGUGAAAUCUUAUGAAAGCUAUAGAUUAUACAAACUUUCUCCACUCCGAUGAUUUGAUUCAUGAACACGUAAAUAGAUAGAUAGAUAGAUCCAUCACGGGAAUCCCCGGGGAACAAUGCAAUGGUGUUUGUGAUUGGAAAAAUAUUAUAAAAGAGCUCACGUAUAGCCAAUAGUUAGGCAGUUUUGUACCGCCAAGAUAAAUAGGAAAGAAAUGGCAUUUCAUUAUCGCAUUUUUAAAGGAUGUUGGAAGUUACCAAAGCAGGAGAAACAGAUGUCCUGGAGUGAUGCAUCUGCAGUCCCAUGUGGUGCUGCUGCCAGCUGGGCACCCGUUGGGGCCUGGUCCCCUCCACCCCAACUGUCCCUGGGCUUUAGGAUGAAAAUGUGGCACCAUGUCCAUGGGGAAUGCCUUUACUUGGGGGUUUUGAAUGCAUCCCUUCGCCACCUUGGUCAUGGGCCGAGGGGUUUUGCUUGCCCUCGGGCCUUCUGUUUCGGUUGGAAUAUUCAGAAGCAGGAUCAGCCCCGAAGGAUGUGUUUGAAAUGGAAGAGUGAAAAAAAAAUACAAGCAAAAAAAAGAAGGAACUAUUUGUUUGCUGGAUCAGUUAUUUUUAGAUAAACCAAAUGAAAACCAGUAUCAAAAUGGAAAGUCUUCUUCAUUACCUAUGGUCUGGCCAAUAUUUAGCCAUCCGUUUUCCCGAUUGUGUUGGCCAACUCCGAGUUUUCCUUUUAUUCCAACCUCAAACCACGGUGGAGAAGAGAGGAUGCACUUUGUGCAGGAGGCACGACCUGCACGGUGUGGGGAGCCACGUCACAAGUGCCACCACGCGUCAGUGUCACAAGCCAUUGACACCACCCAUCCCCGUGUCCACCAGCCUGGAAACAUCUAGAAAUGACGAAACGCCUAACUUUAUCCCCUGGUCUGGAUGCAACCCCCAUGAAUGUGGAGCAUUUGUUGUGGCCGCCCCACGGAUGCCCAGCUGAACUCCAUGGUUUUGACUUGAGGUGACAGCUGAAAAGCACCAGAAACCCUUGGAAUUUCAGAUCUAUAUAUUACUAUAAAUGAAGAAAAUAAAGUUCCACUAGUAGAAGGUAGGUAAUUGCAUUUACUAAAUACACGUAGUUUAAAAAACACAACCCCUGAAACAUUUGCCUCAAAAAAAGUCAAGACAGUAGAAGUUUUCCUUUGUAUCUAUAGAACAAACAUCCCUGGGAUUUGUAAUAAAAACCCAGUUAUGAGAUCCGAGGUCCCUCCUGUUAACAAGGAUCUUUUAGCGGAAUAUUGAAAUAUUGCCACGUUGGAGAGGAGUUAUUUAAGGACCCUACAGGAGCUGAUGCGAAGGCAGAUGCUGCUGAGACUGUUUUCCUCCUUGCAAACCUUUGAAGGGUGCGUGUCCUGAACAUAUUCCACUUUAGAGAAAUACAACAAAUAACCAGCUACAGUCAAAGCCAGCACCGCUCUGUGAUGAAUUUCAAGGAGCAUGACCAAUAAUCCUUCCACUUAUCUUAAAAAUCCUAUGGAAAUACUCGAGCAGUUCCAAUAUAAUUGAAAGCAAACUGAGGGGGGGGGGGAGGAAUCACAAAAAAAUACAAAAACCAAAAAACAUCUGUCUUAGAGUGACCCAAGAAUCCUGAGUCCACCCAAGUAGAUACUGCGUGUUUUUCUGUACUGCUAAUGGAUUGCACAUUGUUGAAAAUAUGAAUUACAGAAUAGAUCAGGAAAGAGUGGCAAUUACGGGUCCAAUUCUGCUCUUGGCUGCAGUGGAAUUAUCAGCUUCAUGUUCUUUGCAGCUCUUGGGGUGCACAUCAGGAUAAUUAUUCAAUGUAAUGCUUAUUCCAGACUGGCAAUCUGAGCUCUCCAAAUUGAAUGAUUUCCGGAGGAGCGAGGCUGACGGUCGGUGAGGAUCAGAGCGGUUGAGGCUGUGCAUUUGCACGGCCCUUUACGCGCUGCUCUUAACUCUGCCACAUACACUCCGCAGUACGAUGCACACGUCUUAAAUAUACCUUUAAAAAUGUCUUGCGCUGGGGAUAUGCCAAACAUCGCUUGCUUCGUUUAGGGGAGACAUGAAGAGUUACAAACCGUGAGCCCUGUGCCAGAGCUGUUGCCUAGAAAAUGUUCCUGUUAGAAGUGAGUCAGAGUUUUGGCUGAAGAGGGAGAGCAGGAUAAGAGGGCCCUGCGUUGGAACAACUAUGCAGCAAUGAGGAAUUUCGCUACGAUUACUGUGCCAGCAAAAUCUGUAUAUAUAUAAUAUCAGAUAACAUCGCCCUGCAUGUGAAAGGAAGGCCACUAAUUCGGCAGUGUUCUUGUUUUCAAAUGAAUUCCGACGCCAAGAGAAGCGAGCAGCUUUGUUAAAAGGGACGGUCAUUAAUAUGCCUAAUGGUGACUUUCCCCUGUUCCUACCAAACAGUGUCUAAUACAAUUUCGCAUUAAAAGCAGGAAGCAUUUCUGCGUAUUUUCUAAUUAGCCUUUCGUGGAAAUCUUGCUGUGGCAGAUACUUAAUGAAAGAAACAAAAAGAAAGAUCCUGCGUGCACGGGAAACUUUGCUCAUCACCUGCAUACUAAACGGCGCAGGUUUAGUGUCCUGUGCGUCGCAAAGAGCCGGGUAAGGCUGGUUUUUUCCCACAGAAGGGUGGUGUGUAGGGUGUGAUGUGAGCCCUGGGCUGACCUCAUGUGCUCAGCACACGCGGCUGGUCGGGCAGGAUCGACCCUCGGGCGCUGCCGAACGGGCUGUUGCUGCUGCCGGUGCUGCUGCUGCUGCUCUUGUUAUUUUCCAGGAGGAAACAUUCCGGGUCUGCCCUAACAUUAGCGCAACACAUCGCUCCAGCUGCAUUCCCCGCUGACUGGAGUCUGUUUGAUGAGUAAUUAGGAGACCUUCUCUUUAGUUUGUUUGACAUAUUUUGCAAAACAUGUAAAUCUGUUAAAAAAUUGCUUGUUCAUUUAAAAGACAGAGUUCCUAAAUGAAGCGGAGUGUCUGCUAAAUGGAUAUAAUUUUAGGAUUUUUUUUUUUCCCUAUUACAACUUCAAACACAAUAGGCUCCCUUUACCUUAAAAAGGAUUUUUUUGUUGUUUCUGUUGAGAAGUAAUUAUUCUGUUUCUGCAUCUGCAUAGCUUCACCCAGAGCUCACACAGGGAAAAUCUCUGUGAUACUUAGAGAUAAACAUAUCUAGACAUAUAGAUAUCCAUGUGUCUACUUAGGUUUGUUUAUAUUUUACACCCACACAUCAAAACUAGCAUCAUUAACUACUUACUGGAAAGCAAUAAACACAGACCUGUUUCCUCUGCCCACAUCAAGGGUGGACACUUUUUUCCAUUAAGACAUCUUUAGCAAAGAAAAUGUUAAAUAAGCCUCAAAUAUUCCAGCACCCAUUCAGCUCCUUUUGUGAAAUCCCCCUUGAAGAUCAUCAGCUGCUUCAAGUUGCAUAAUACAAGCUGUCGAUUUAACUUUCCCAGCUAUCACAGCAUUGUGGAAUGGAAGAGUUAAUUUUUUCUUGCUUUGAAAGCAUUUGGAGUUUUUAAAAUGUAAAUAUGAUUUUCUUCCCUUCAGCUCUUCAGCUGCACAAAAAAGGGACACCUCUCGCACCCUUAAUUUCAGUCCAAAUUGCUACUUGCAAUAUUCAGAAUUAUGAAUCCUGUAAUUAAUUUUUUAAAUGUCAUAAAAAAAGAGAACUCUGGUAUUUAAAGCAAAGCAAUCCUACUGACCCGAAGGUUAAAGUUCUCCCCCCUAAAAGCAAUGCUACAGGAAGGCUAUGCCAGCUAAGAUUAAAAUCCUUUUGUACUUCAAGAUGUAAGUGCAAGGAUGAUUUAAAAGCCCUGUAGUUUUCUAGUCAGUUCUACUUAUUGCUUCAGGCUGAGCAUUUUGUUUUGCCUUUUUUUCUUCUUUUUCUUUCUCUUUUUUUUUUCCAACAAACACUCAGCUGCUUAUUUUGGGGAAGCAUCUCAUUUAUCUGAGCCCGCUUCUUCCCGAGACUUUUUCCUGCUGGAGAAUUAUUGCCUGGCACAUCAAUAGCUUGCAAAUGAUAGCAGGGCUGUGUUUAACUUGCAGCCGGAUUGCCGUUGUCGGGAGGGUCCGCGUCUUUUAGCUAAACUGCCUUUUUCUUGAGGAAUUUCAGAUGUCUGUAAUUGCCGCUCCUUUCAGCACAGCUUAAGGUAUCAAUAUCAACUCGAUUUGAAUAUCAUAAGUGGGAAGUUGCUCUAAGCAAAACAAAAACAUGUCAGUUGCCCAGGUGACAUUUUGUAGCAAACAAGGAAAUCACAACUCCAGGAAGUGUUGUAUUUUAUGCCAACAACAAUAUGACAGUUUUCUCUGUAAAGAAAACAUGACACUUUUCCAAAUAUCAGAGGAUGCCUCCGCUGCUCAAGGGAUUCCUGUACUGUCACUGAAAUGGAAGGUCACAGGCUGGUUUCAUGAUUUCUAUAGUUUCAAAAUGUUGUGGUGGAGCGUUCGCACGCUAAAUGCUGUAGGCUAAGGGAAAUCUUUCCCUUCAUCUCUGCAAGAAGUGACAGGAAGAAAAAGGUCCUACUUUGACAGCAGUAACCUCUAGGUCUCGAGGUUCUGCCCCGAGCAACUCUGAAGUAAAAUUACCUAUGUUAAUGUGUUGUCCUCGCUGUCAUCCAGGCGCACGUGCACGAGCGAGCGUGCAAAACGGAGCUCGCGAGCACCGACGUGCACACCAGGCACCCAAAAUCACCUCAAAAUAGCCCUAUAGUAGCAUGCUUGUAGGUUUGGUGGGGUUUUUUUUUGGAAUAGCCUGAGCCACGCGGGAGCCGCAGCAAACGCGUCCCGUUUUUACCUGGCCUUGACUCUAAUAAAACCCGAAAAGUUUCUGCAAACAAUUUCUUUUAAGAGGUGGGGUUUCCAGUUCGGCUUCAGGAAGGUAGGGACCUACUUGUUAUGCUAGUACCUAAUUCCUGAAGUUUAAAUAAACAGACUUUUGCUUUAAGCCAGAAAAAGUAUUAACUUCAAGGCUAUGGACAGGAUCAAAACACAUUUGUUUCCAGCCUUCCUCCUUUUUUAUUCUUCCAUCUCCCCCUUAAAAAAAACACACCUUAGUCUAUAGAUUAUAUACUUCCUGCUGCCCUUUUUAUAAGCAAUAAGAAUUUAAUAACUGAGGGCAACUCUAUAGUAAUAUUUAUAUGGGUCAAGUGGCUUAAAAGUAUGCAAUAAAUGUAAAGUUAUGAACCACAUUGCCCCUUUUUAAAUAAUGCAGCUAGCACCAAGAUAUUAUGUUUCAUAUUCUGGAAAAAGGUGUUUUAGCCUCGGCUUUAGGAGUACACCAGACAUGAAAAGUUAUACUGAUCCCAUAAUAAAGUCACUGCCUGCUUAAUAUGGUGUGUUAUGUAGGGCUCCAGAUCUUAAUAGCAGACCACAGCAAGAACGUCCCAGAUGAUAUCAACAAAACCUUGGCUUUCUCAUUAGCAAUCAGCAAAUUCUCCUGGUGUCUGCUAGCUUCAAAUAAGGGCAAGUGCCUCUAUUCCUGGUGUGAAGCCCAAUAGGAUAAUAGAAAUAAUGUAGUUCCCCCGUCAGAGUGGGCGGUGGCGGGUUCGGUGACUCCCCGUCAGCAGCUUGGAACUGGCUUCUUACAGUCAUUGCUUUGAAUAUAUGAGUAAAUGUUACAUGUGGUUUCUGCGAGUAUAAACACACAUUCAUUGUGCGUGUCGAGGGGGAAUCACAAAAUGGUUUAAUUUGGUCUCGUCAAACCAUCUCCUUUGAUAAAUCAGAUCAAACAUUUGUCAUCGUGGCCCAAACGGCCAUUCCUUUGUUGGCUGGCACGCUGCUGAUAGCUGCGCGCUGGCUGCACCCGAGCAGCUACCUGCGUUAUGAUUUGUUUCUUCUUACUGCUGUUAGAUUUAAGCAUAUUUCAUGUUUGGACAAUGCAGCACGCAGUUGCAGAACAGUGUUAUUAAGUUCGCAGACAAUCGUUGCUGUUAGCCAUUGUGAUUCAAGUCUGAAGGACGCAGGAUCUUACUGCUCUUGCAGCCUAAAUAAUCUAUGGCUGUGCUUGAGGAAAUGGAGAACAGUUUCAGUUUUGGCGCUGAUUUUAUACUUUUAAGGGUUUCUUUGGUCCCACAUUUUCACUUGUGAUUUUUGUGUGUUCUUAUAAUCUCACUGAUUUCUAUUUAAGAACAAUUUCUGCAGCCUUAUUAACUUCUGGUUAAAAAUGAAGUCUGCAAGCAUGGCUGACACCAUGCAAGGAAAUGCAAGUCUAGGCUGCAGCAGUGUAAACAAAAAAGUGUUUUAAGAGGUGCCCAACUAUGCUUUGAACCCUGAUUAAGCCUAAGGUUACUCUGUGUUUAUAUGCGUAUUCACAGUGCACUGGGAAAAUCCAGCAUUUAAUGGUUCCUGUGCUGAUCUUUUGUUAGUGCACUGGGCUGCGUUGCUUAAGAGCUGGAUUAAAAACCACAGCAACUUUCUUAUUGUGAGUUUUGUCCAACAUGAUUCAUGUUGGUGGGAUGCAGGGGUCUGUAUAUCUCUUAUAGUUAACAAUUUAAAAACUGACACCACAUCAGUCCCCCGAGCUCUUAUUUAGCUACUGGAGUAAGCAGUGGGAUAAGGUAGCGCUGUUUUGUACACAUCCAGUAAAUUGAGAAUAAUUUCCAUCUAUGGAUCUCAUUACGGUUUAGGAGCCAAGCCCAAGAUCCUUAUGUCUUAUUUUUUGUUUUAGUAAAUGUGAGGUGAACGAGGACGGUAUCCACAAAGGGCAAACAGCUCAAGAAAAUAGGUGAUAACGAAGGGCAAUGAGGCAACAGCACGAAGCCUCGUGCUUCCAACUUUGCUGGACUAUUUUGAAUUCUGUGGAUGAUCUUGCAGGGUACUUUAUUCUCCUAAAAUAACAAGCAGGUCAAUACGAGUCCUGCUCCUGUGAUAAAAUGCAGCAGUUGCUGACCAGGACAUGUCCACAAAGGAGCUGGGAGAGCUGGUCUGUGGGAGCGAGGACGUUUUCACCAGCAGGGUCAGGAGAUCCUGACAGUUCAGGACAGUCCAUGGCCAAGAAAGUCAAAGCACAAUGAAAAGAAUGGAAAAACUAACUGAUGGGCAAGGGUGACCUUACCAAAGGGAAAACUCUGUUGGCAAAUAAAUGCAUGUUUACUAAAACAAAACCUCUUGUUUAUGAGAAAUGAGAGGCGAAAGUGUAGACUACUGAUGCUAAAUUAUUUUAUUAUGGUGCUCAAGUGAGAGGGAAAAUAGGGUUCUUGGAUAAAGUUGGCUCCACAACAUAUAGGCACCAGCUACCUGUGACUACACGGAGGUUGGAAAUUUUGGAGAAGGUUUCUGAUAUCAAAGCCAUGAGGCUGUGGAGCAGCCUCCAUAUGUGGGUAACAACGUGAAAAACCACUAACAGCUCUUAAAGCGCAGCCUGAUGACAGGGGAUUAGAGGACGCGUUGUCUGCAAUCGAAAGGGCCCCGAUGAGAAGACCCAAAGAGCCUCAUCCUUUCCAGUUUAGUGGAAGCAUCCUGGAAAUGGGCAACAGUGAGGAACACCAAGCUCAGACUGUCUAAACUUCUAUUUUUUGUCAUUUUUAUUAUUAUGGCUUUAAUCCGUGCGGCUUCCAGGGAUGGGGAGCUCAGUUACUGCAGCUCUUCAGCAUGAGGGCACCUAGCGGGAUGCACUGUGAUGACACGGGCAGGGUAUUUUGCUCGUAUUUUCCUCAAGAAAGAAGUUUUGGAGUUAUUUCAAUACAGAAGAAUUCAGAGAACGAGGGGUAUAAGGUGGUAUAAGAAAAGGACUUACAUUAUUCAGGGAAAGUCGAUACACAGGGCCACUUCCCUGGUGUGGUACCACCUCUCUGUAUCUUACUCUAUAUGCAGUAGAAACAGAUUAAUACCAGAAAAGAAAUAAAAAAAGAAAGUGGAGGAAGGUGAAAAGGGGAUGUCUCCACUCAUGCUAAGCAGGUAUGCCUUUAAUAUGUGGGUACUGGGUAGAAGUUUCAGCUAAUAACACCACUUUUCUAAUUUUGAGAAAUAUAAAAUCAACAUCUUGUGGUCAUUUGCAUAUCCGUAUUUCUAACUCAGCUGUUUAAGGAUAAAACUAACAAACCAAUACCUAUUACCCGUGCUUUCAAGACAUGAAAGAUGCUUCUUCCAGCUUGGGAUAGCGUUAAAAUGACACUUGUAAGGGCUGCACCUCGGAAGCAUCGUCUGUGUUGUGGCUUUCAUUGCAUCUCACACGUGGGAACCCAAACCUUGGAGGCUUUAAAACCUUGUGUGUCUGCGGCUUCUCCGCGAGCCUGACAAGGGAUCAUUAGUAACUCGCUGAUGUCUCUCUCUGUUUGUUCUACUUCACAAGGCACUUCCCCAACUAAUUUAGAACAAAGCUUGGUGUUUACUUGGCUUCACAAAAUGACAUUUUUCUUUGUUUUUUCCCCCAAGAUUGCUGCAAAGGCACAAAAAAAGAAUAUUUACAUAAACAGGUUUCAACUUCAUCAAGAACAGGUCAGGUAAGGAGGGCAAACCCAGGUAGAAGGGAAAUAAAGCAGAGCAUAGGAUGGAAUAGUUGAUAUUUCAUUUAGGGCUGCGAAAGAAGCGCUUUGAACGUUUGAGGGUUGGAGCAACGCUGCCAGGGAGUUACCAAACCCCCGUUAAACUCCGGGUAAAACCGUGGCAGAGCUGCGGAGAGCACAGCGCCGACGGCAGCCGCGACGCCGAGCAGCAAACCAGCCGCGUGCCAUGGCAGCUUUGCACGAGAAGCCUUUGAAGCCGGAAAGGUGAGUCCUCAGUGCCCAUUGCAGGAGCCCAGGGGCAUCUGGCGUGGACAGAGAGGAAAAAGAACAAGUUUAUGGAAAGCGGACGGAAACUGGGAGCUGAGCUGGGGACCAGCGUCACGGACCCGCUGCUGCGGGAUGUGCUGAGUGUGUGCACUUGCUGGAAAAGGGUCCGUUACAACCAGGCUGUGUUUCUUGCUCACGAAUCACAACUCUACCCCGUGAACGUCUGUGUCAGCAGACACCCUUGUUUGCAGGAGCGAGCAGGAGCCAUCGGGUACAGACCAGGAGAACUCACUGGUGCCUGCUGGUUUUGAAGCUUCCCUUGCAUUUUGGCACGCAUUUACGCAUGACAUGGCGAUGUAUCUGCAGUAAAGAUCACCAAAAUUCUAAUUUCUUGGUAGAGAGGAGACAUUGAUGCAGCUCUGCGGACACCCCUGGUAUUGUUGAUCGGCUUUUAUAUCUCCCUGUCCUGGAGUGAAACAGCAGCCGGCACAUGCCCGGGGAUCUUGCUUUUUGGGAGGAGGGAUCCUCGGUAGGGAAAGACAUUGAGAAGAGGGAUGGUGCAGGACAACAUAGGGGAAAUGUGAAAGCCUCAGCACCGGCUGGCGGUCGCCAGAGCCAGAUCCAGGGCAUCGAGCCACUGCGUGCUGCCACUUCAAACUGGGCUGCCAAAUUCCAGCGCACUCGGAGGAUGACCCGCAGCAACCCCAUUUCAGGCUUGGGUGUCUCUUCGGCAGAGGCUGCCAAUUAGAGCAAACGGUGCCAAAUUAUUUGGCAGAUCCGUGCCACGGACAGACAGCCAGUCAUAGAACCGCGCUGGUUUCCUUGAAGUAAUUACCAUGACAAUAAUGUGAACUUGAAUAAAGAAAACAUUUUUACGGCAGAGGAGAGGGGCGUGAGAAGAAGCGGACGGGGAGCUGGAGACAACUGAUCCCGUCUCGCUGGUGAAAUGUUUGAUUUGGCCCAUGACGCCAACCCGGUUGCUGCAAUGGCAUCUGCCGCUGCCUUUGCAUCUGCCGAGCCCAAGGAUGCUGCCCAGUGCUCAUGGGUCGGGUGGUUUGCUGUGGUGUCUGGUGUUCGAGGAGACAAGUGCACAGUCAAUGCCACUUUGCCUUGGCCUUUUUUUCCCCUAUAAAGAGCAAAACCAGAAAAGCAACAACAGAAAAUAUGUUAAUGGAGAGCUAAUGAUGUAGAGAUGUGCUGGGAAGAGCUGGGCGACCCCAGGGUGAGCCUUUAGGGUAAAAUGACCCAGAAAUGGUCAAGCAGGGGAUGGAAGUGAUGCAGGAAGGGUGGCCUUUUGGUGUGCUGAGCACACAUCUUUUCUGCCUGUCUCUGCUUACAUGUCCACUACAGCCAUUCCCAUGAAAACCAAGUGGUGAUGUUGGCUACGCAGGUCUUGCAAUGGAGGGAAAGCAAUGCCACGUUUGCCAUGGCUCCAACACCACUGUUGGUCAUGGCUUCAGCACCACGUUGGCCAUGACUCCAGCAAGACAUUGAUCAUGGCUUCAGCAUCAUGUUGGCCAUAGCUCCAGCACCCACGACCCCAGGGGCUCUGCAGGAUCUAUAACAUCCAUGGAGAGAAUUUGGACACAAAUCCCGUCUCUGUCCAGCAAUUUCUGCAGCUCGAGGGACGGUUGUUGGAAGUGGCUUUUGUGUGUUCCUGCCCCACUCAUUCCCUCCUUGGAGCCCCAUGUCUCCAGCAACUUUCGCCAAAAAGAUGCUGAGCAAAAAGUUUUCUAAGAAUGGAAAAUUCAUUGCAUCAGUUGCUCCAGUGUUCAUUUGCUGAUACGAUGAGGCUCGUUUCAGUUUCCACGCAGUGCUUCUGGCUCUGAUUUUCACCUGUGGCAUGGAAGAACUCUCUAAUAUCGAUUUUCUUGGCUGCACACAAGUACUUCUGGACCUUCUCUGUAUAGAACCCAGAGGCAGGAGGAUCCCACCAUGCUCCCGCUCAUCCAGUGGCCUAAAUCUGUGGGUUAAUUUGGGGACUGAAGAGAUCUUCAGCUUCACGUGAAGCCCUGUGGUGAGUUAUUACAGCCUCUCCCCUAGCGCUGGGUCACAAAACCUCACCAUCCUGCCAAAGGGCUUCGUUCCACCCCUCCUCUCAACUCGCUUUAUUGCCUCUUGAUCGAGCAGGAGUUAUGACAUUGAAUUUCAAAGUUAACAUAAAGUAAGUGGGACGAUUAAUAUGAAACUGUUUUCCAGAUAGUUGUGGGUUUUUUUUCGCGGUAUCUUGCCCAUCACAGCAGCUGUUCGGCGCGCGGUGCCACGGCACUGCCACUCCGCGCUCUGAUCCCGUAUGAAGUCAGCAAGAGCCUUCAAAACUGUCACUUCCAUUUCCUACCAAAAGCAAAACACUUCCUACAAGGAAAGCACACAUUACAGCUGAAUUAUAAAUGAGGACUGGUAUUUUUGCAAGGUACAAAUCGGAGGCAUUCUCCAUAUUGUUAGAAUACCAAUUUUAUUUUCCUGGUGUGUAGUACCCAGUGCAGCGCGCUGUCCCCAGAGAUGUGUGCAUUCUCCGGAGAUUACUUCAGCAUUGCAUUACUGCUAUCACAUAUCCAUUAUAUAUACUCUUUCAGACAAGUGGAAAUGUUUUCACAAAAACAAUCUGGAAUCUUGGCUUAAAACCCAAGCUUGCUGUCAAGACAAACAGAGUAGCCUCAAAGAGGACUUAUUUUUAUUUUGUUCAGCCAAGUAUGUUGUUUCUGGAUUAUAAUAAGGGAAAAUAUAGCAGCUAUCAGUCUUCAGUUUAUUUGACAAGCUUCCUCUGACAAAUCUAGAGGAAUAAGCCCUGGCCCUGCAAACUCGUUCUCAUUCAGGUAUUCCCUUUGGCUCCGGCACUUUUAUUAGUGUGAUUAAGAGCCACACACAUAUUUACAGGACAGGAGUCACAGGAUGAGAUGAUAUAUGUGCUUGGCCAUUACUUAUUUUGAAAAGUUUUAAAAGCCUUUGCUGUUUUCAGCGCUUGUCUCUAUCAACCAGCGCUCUAAGAGCUUGUCCCAUCACCUAUCAAACAAGGUCAAUGAGCUGGUUAUAAUCAGAUGCCAAAUAAACAAAUGCAAACUUGAAAUCGAGUGAUUUACUGUCCAUUUUCAUUAAGUUCUUCCCAAGGAAGCGAACACUUUAUGCAGCACAAGGGACCUUGGGAAAGGGUCAGCUGCCGUGCUGAAGCGAGACGCGGUGUGAUGGUUUUCACCCAAAUGGAGUUUAACGAUAGCGAGUGUGAAGGGAAGGCUGCCUUGUUUGGGGAAAAGAGCGCUGUAAACAGAGCGGCGUCUCUUCACCUUGCAGUGAAUUCUCUUUUGUGAGGUGCGUGGAGUUUUAAUAUUAAUGUGUUUACAUUACUCUGAGUUUUCUGCUCUUUAGACUAGAAUUUCCCCUGUUCGAUCAGCUGAAAACAACAUUCUUGGGACACGGGAGAUUCUAGCUUCGUUAUAAAACUCAGUGCAUUUUAAAAUCGAAAUCUCAGCUUAAGGAUUCCAGCAUGAAGCUGGGUUGCUCUCGAGAAUCAAGACACCUUUAUGUGGUGAGGUCUGACCUCAAUGGAAAAUGAAGAGCAGCACAAAGGGCAGGUAAUCUUUCAAUACGGCCGUGCCUGGUGGCUGGAGCCGCAUAUUCAAAUGCGAUGGGAAAACACGUGUACACCUCAGUGUGAUGUACCACUGCCCUGUCACACACAGGGAAGACACUCUCAGUUUGGGCAGUAUAAAUCAGAUUGACACUGUACUGGAGCACUACUUGGAAAAGGCAUGUCACUUGGACAACACAAAAUAUUGAGCAACUUGAAUUGUUUUUCCAUGAAGCUUAUCCCUUGAUAGCACUUUCCUUUCUUAUAUCUCCUUAAUACAGCAUAAUUUAGAUGUUUUCUAGGCAGAGUUAUGCUUAUAAUGCUGCUUUUCCAACAUGAUAUUGGCUGUAAUGUGGAGGCACUGGCGAGAAGUCACAGUUUGCUUCUUUGCCAUUUUGUGAGCCUCCUAGUUUAAAAUAGGAACGUCUAACUCAACCUAUUUUGAAAUUUUGUGAAUAAUCUUUACAAACAAAUGGUUUGCCUGUGAUUUUUCUCUAUUUGUUUUAUAAAUUGUUCCAUUCCCAUAUUUCAGAAAAUUUCCCAAAUGAGACUGAGCAAAAAAAAAGAAUGUUUUCUCUCUCUUUUUUUCCUAAAGGUUGCAUAAAUAUUUCACAUGUAUCUCCCUUUAAUUAGAUUAUAACACUGUAAAGUGGCAAAGAGUUUUCUCUUUCCCCAAAUUAGACAUGAGAACCACAAACAAAUUAAUUUGUGUCUCAGGGUUUUGCCUGGGCCUCUUGGCCUGCUCCAGCACUCACACAGACACUCCUGACCCUCUGGAUUUCAAACGCCUGAGGGUAAAAAGCAAUUAUAAAAACAUGACUUUCCCAGAUCAGCUUUCGAAUCUGCCUUGUCUCUGUUUUAUUGAUGGGAGAUUGAAGGAAGAUUCAAAUCAGCUAUCCUUCAAUUCUUUACCAGCAGCAAAAUACAGAAAUCAUUAGCUUUUUCUGUGUAAAUGACUUUGUCCUGCUUUAUUAUUCAAAACUGGUUGGGCACUUGACUUAAAAAGGCCAUGUUGAAUAUUUAUUUCUAGUUUUGGCACUUGUAAAUAGUCUGUCGCUUUGCUCCUUAUUUUCUUUUUCAGAAUAAUUCUUCAUGGAAUUAGAGCAGGAACUAAUUAAUAUGGGUAUUUUUUUUAAUAGGUAAAAACGCACACUGAGUUAAAUUUGGAUGAUCUUGCUCUCAUAGGUCUAUUGUUGUUAGGAAACACUCCUGCAGAACCAUUAAAAAAAACCAGGGAAAAUUAUUAAAUAUCUGUUUGAUUUUACUUCUCUGUGUGACUACCAGUGUUCAUUUACUAAUAAGCAUGGAAUGAGAACAAAAUAUCAUCUUUAAAUCCCAGUGCAAUUACAUGCACUCAUGGUGCCAAGUCUAGUCAACUCCCAGGAAUGGGUACAGGGAAGAGGAGCAUUUUAGGGUUUUUUGUGGGAGCAGAGAGAUCCUUAAACCCGGGUACCCAGCAAGGAUGGUCCUUUGCUCUUUGAAUCAUAAUGGCACUUGAAAGCAUCAGAUGAGGUUUGUGCACCUCCAGAAGGGAAAGUGUCGUGUAAGCCUAUGCUUAGCUUGGCAGACGCUACUUGCAAAGUCCUGGCCUAAAGAAAAUGCAUGUUUUUCAGCCAACCUGAUGUGAGAUGUGACAUCUGAAGGUGGGAGGAAGGGUGUGUGCCCGUGCCAGACCGAGCAGGCUCUUCAUAUUUCCUUUUCUGUUUGGAAUAACACGUGGGUUUGAAUUUGAUCUCAGCCCAAGUGAGGACACAGACCAGGCUGUGAGCGGGGAUGGUUUCAGAGGCGCCAGAUAAAUGUCAGGAACUCCAGGCAUAAAGGUGGAUCUUAACAAUUUGUGUACAAGUUUUUCACUGCUUUACUGGAACCAGGAUGCUGAAUCUGACCCAUUUACAUUGCAAAACCUCCAACUUGCUGACCAAUGCCUGUGUCCUUUCUUUUGAAGCUGUUUCCAAACGUUAUGAACUGAAACAUGUCCAGCAAAGUUGGUGGUCUCCAUAAGAAAUUCAAACUCUCUGCUGACCAAGUGAAAACACACAUGUGCGUGUAUCAGGCAUAUACAUAAUCUUGGCUGAAAAUCAGCGUCAGUGACAAUUUCAUUCAGUGAAAUAUUAAUUUUGAUCCCUGCUCUUAAAAAUCAUGUUUGUCUCAGGAAUUUUACUUAGAAGACCUUUUACCCUUUUAGUACCAGGCUGACUUCUCAAGUUGUUAAUAAUUCUCUCUUACAAUAUGAAGAAACUCCAUUUUUAUUCCCAUAUAAAUUCAAAUUAAAAUUCACAUUUAUUCAUGUUCCUAUGCCAGAAGGUUUGAGGUUUUUGUUUUGUUUCCUUCCCUGUUUCUCAGAAGUAUCCAUCAUCGAUCACCAAUGCUAAAAAGACAUGGGACUAAAUGGACCAUUGGCAACCACACGUGCCAAUAUCAUUCCUUUAAAUAGAAAUGAUUUGUUCUUACUCUUGAUAAACACAUAAGUAAAAGCCUGGUCUUUUCAUUUCCGUCUCUUUUCCUGGAGGACUGUGGGAUCUCCCAGUGCUGUCUGUUCUUUUCCUCUGUGUUUUGCAGACAGGGGAAUCACAUGCAAGACUCAGCUCCACGUCCUCUGAAGAAGCAACAUUAAAGUCAGCACUUGACUGCACUGAAUUUUACAGGAUUUUUCUCCCAAGUAUGAUAUUGAUAUCUUUUAAGUGAAUGGAGUAAUUGAAGAAUCUUCCUCUAAACUAUCGACAGGGUGUCUAGAGAAGAGAUGAAUGAAAAAUAUCUUUAUCCCUGAUAAAGGUUUAGGUAGAAAGUUUUGGGGGUGAGCGGCUGGAGGAGGAUUCCAUGAGCAUCAGCAGGAGCAGAGAGGGCUGGGGAGGCCCUGGACAGGACAGCGGUGCUGAUGUGUUGGCUCGGGGACAUUUCUGGUCUGCACGAACCCAGCGGGAUGUGUGUGCAGCUCCGAGCUGCUGGGAGAGGCUGAAAGCAUCUCCGCUCACUUCCAGGCUCAGGUUUUGGACAGCCUGAAUUUGUUCUGGAGGAAAAAGUAUUUAAAAAAAAAAGGAUCUUUCUGGCAAGGAUUGUGCUCUCCUGGGUUUCAAGGCUGCAAGAAUUACAAUUCACUCAGAGUUCAAGCCUUUGUUUAAGACAACGUCCUCAGGGUUAUGAGUUUUGAUGAAGGAGAUGAGAUAAACUGGCGUUCUCAUCUAUGUGACUCAGACACAAUAAGGACAGAUAAAGAAAUGCAAAGAGCAUUGCAAAACACUAUUUAUUGCUAUUUUCAAUGGUGUUCCACAAAGAAACUUGAACAUAUUUUCUGGCAGAGCUCUUCGUUUUCCCAGGACAGAUAUUUGCAAGCCUACCUCUGUAGUUCGUGAAUAUCAAAAUGAAUGGGUGCACAGAGGCCCCGAGCGCAUCCUUCCCCGGCAGCCAGUGAGGCAGAAGGAGCAAACUGCAUUAGGACCCUCCUGAGAAUGUGGCACAGCACUUAAAGGACAGAGAUGCUCUUCGGAAGCGGUGAUGGGGACAUAAAUUGUCGUGUAGAAGAAGGGGGUGGUGACCCAGAAAAACUCUUGACUACUAAACGGAAUUUAGGACACGAUAAUAAAAUUUUAGAACAAAUAUUAAACACAUGGUUUAGCUGGUUUUCCUUCCUUUUCUUGGUUGUUCCCAAGGACAGUGCACGUUGAGGUGGCCAUGAAGACUGGGAUGAAGAUGAGCAGCGAAGCGGUGGCUCAUGCCGGUCACAGCACAUUGGGCAAUGUUCAAGGCUGUCAGAUUGGCUGUGCCC